CCGAUAGAAAGCCCCUCUGGCCACCGCCUCAACCUGAGAUACCAAGGAGAGGAGUGGAUCCAGGAGUACUCCUUUGAAGAGCCAGAGCUGGGAGCAGAAGAGGAGGAGGGUGGCGACAGAAGCAGUAGUUACCAUCAGUGCAGGGAUUCUCCCUCCCAACCCCAGAAACUACAGGGCUCGCUAAAGAAAAGUCCAUGAAGCUCUUCUCACAAUCAGCUCUUCUGCACAACCCCUGAAGGAUAACAUUGGAGACUUAAAUCAGAUGCUACACCAAACCAUGGCUGAAGAAACUUAUCUAUAGUAUGGAGUGAUGUCUGAACUGAUGGACCAUGGUUUGCAGUCAGCUAGCAAAGUGGAAUUAGAAACCAUGAUCGGAAGUGGGUAUAUAAAACAUGGUUUGAGCUGGCUUAUGAUCUGGUGUGAUGUCUCAACCGACAAACAAUAGUUACAGUUAUUGCUCUGCCUCCAGAUGCCCCUGA